rnacentral:pre_miRNA from 1 species
AAGUUACUCCCUCCGUCCCAUAAUUUUUGUCGAGAUAUUACAUGUAUCUAGACUUUUCUUUAAUAAUAGAUACAUUCAUUUGGGCAAAUUAGAGAUAAGAAUUAUGGGACGGAGGGAGUAGUAC